rnacentral:hammerhead_ribozyme from 1 species
GCAUUGCUGAGGAGUUCCACAAUAGAACGAAACAGUCGUCCAGUGC